UUCUGCAAGAGACGAAGAUUCAUGUCAGCAUGACACUGCUGAGAAUUCAGAGUACACCUGCACAAAUAACCUCAUAUUGUUUUCUUGGGGUCCUUCUGGAUCAGUCCUUAAAGCUGACCAUCAGCUAAUACAUUCCUAAGUUACCCUGAUUCAAGUGGAAACUCCUGAAAGUCAGUUCCUUGCUGCUUUCUUUGCCUCUCUCGCUUUCUGUGCCUGAGACGCUCUCCACUUCACCCUGGAACCGAUAAUUGAAUCACAGUUGAAUCAGUUUCACAGAUGCCAGGGACUGCCUUAGCCAGCACAAACAGGUUGGCAGCAUUUCUUUAUCUGAGUCAGUGACUCCUUAGCAAUUCAGAUCAGGUUAAAACACCCUUAACGGGAAAAGAGUCUGUCUGUCAGUCCAGGACCCAUAACCAGGUGCUUGGGGCACUCAGCUGGGAAGAAAGCUCUUGCUCUGACUGAGAAGAAUCAACUGAUUAUUCUGAAGUCCUACCCCACAUCAUCAGACAUGAGACUCCAUAAGAUAAGUCCCUGGGAAAACAAAUACAGAAGGACCAAACCCCCUUUCCAUUCAUUUUAAUCUCAUUUCUUAGCCCUUUCUUUUGAUACCAUUGUCUAAAAAUCUAAAUCUCUGCACAAAUUCUUGAGGAAACCUGUCUUUAGCAAGGACAGGUAAUAAGGUGCAUGUUAUGCUGCUGACCUCAAGAAUGUUUUGGUAGAGGUUGCUGAUAGGCUUUCUCAUGUUCCCUCUGUGCUGCUCGUUGUAAAAGGAGGGAUCUUCUCUUUGGUAUUAGUAAAAGACCUCUCUGAUUUGCAAGUUAAACAACUAAUAAAUAAAAUUUAAAAAAGCUGCCAGAUACAAAUGCACAACUAUAUUGGGAUUUUGCAGUAUUUUGAUCAGAAACAAGUUAUAACUUUACACCUUAAAUUCUUAGAGUGAAACUGAUUUACUGCUAUUGCAUGUUCAGAAUGCCACCUAAGAAAGACGGUGUGACUACCAGGCCAUGCCAGACCCUGUUGUCUGGUCUUAGUUUCUCUCUGAAAAUCUGUUAGGAAAAAUCAGUGACUUUUAUUCAUAUUUAAAGUGUAUUAAUAAUAGUAAUAUUAUACUGUAGUGAAGGUUAUUUUGCAUAACUUUUAAAUAUUCAAUGAAGAUUCAAUAUAUUGUCUUAAUAAAACCAUUUUCACAGUAACAAUUAGCAGGUUUUUAGUGUCUGCUGUGGUAGCUGCAACAGAGGGUAAGGGCUGACUUGUCACAUUUUUGAACGUAGAAGGUAGCAUGUAGAGCUGCCACCUUGGUUGGGGUUAGUCUAAGGGUGUUGGCUGAAUAGCUGAGAGCUCAGCUGUGCCAAGUAGAUGAGCAGUGUGACAGUCUCCAUGCUAAUGUGUCUGCAGGAAUUUGCACAGGAGAAGCAGGGCACUCGUGAGAGUAGCAGAAUAAAUCAAAGUGUGAAAGCAAUUGCAGUCAAAUGUCGCACCCAAGCAGUCAGUGACUUGACAUGCUGUUUAGAAAUAGGUUGGGUUACCUGUCAGUGUGGCAUUUUCUUUUGGUUGCUAGAGAAUAAUGUUAUCUGAGGAUAAAAAGUAAGGAGCACAGAUGGCUGCUACACAUGCUUGAUCCUCUAAACUCUUAUCGCAGCUAAUUAUUCCAUUGACGUAAAUGGAACCACUCCUUUGAAUAAGGUCUGUUAUAUUCUCCAAUUCUUUUACGAUUGCAGUACAGUUCUUUUUUGCAUUCUGUGUGUAAAUGUCUGUGCACUUUAAAAAAAAAAAAAACAAACAUUAUUUGGGGGACAAACUGUUUUGUGCCUGGCAGUCACUGGGACCAAAGUCAUUGGUUAAGACUGUAGGUGCAAAUAUUUCUUGGAAAUGUUACCUCUGCACUUUCUAAACAAAUAAACAUAUUCUGAUUUAACUUAUUUUCUUUGUCUAGUAACCACAAGCUCGGAGUCCCCUGCCUGACCAGCAUUUAAUGCUUCCCUUUAUUUUUUUAUCCAGUAAUUGAAGACUUGUGGUGCAAGAGCAGAGUUUACCUUGUAAGCAAGAGUAAUACAAAGAAAACUCAUUUAAAUUUAGAAUCUAACAUUACUUCUUCUUACCUAUUCCAAAUUAGUUUAUGUAUUAUAGUGAAGGUCACUUAUUCUUUUUUGAAAUAUUGAUUGACUGAGUGUGGAUCGUUUUUAUGGAUGCUAUUUUUGUUAUCAGGCAAGCAUCUAUGCUCUGAGGAUAGAGCAGAGGAGCACGCAGUUUGAGGUGUUUUCCUUACCUUCACUAAAGAAACAGCCCGGCUGACACCAGGAACAUGGCAAUCGAAAUAAGACUGGCUGGCAUGGGACCAUGGCCAUCAUAUCUAGUGACAUGCAGUACAAAGGGUGAGCACCCAGCAGUGUGGAGCCAAUUCAGGAAGGACACAGCCUUCACCCAUCUGGCAGAAGAGGUGGCGGACAGUCCCCUGAUCUUUCAGCUGGUGCUGUUUUCUCCUCUCCUUCAACUUCUGUUUUUUGCAUUGUUACACGUUACAUUUCUGUAGCACAUGUUGAAUGGGAUGCUGUGCAGCUGAAAGAUCACAAGUCUCAAAUGGCUCACUUGGUUCUCCCAUACUGAACUGACUGCCUGAGCUGCAGCUCUCUGACAAGGGGAAUGGAAAUACCCAUUUGUGUUACUGUUGUUUAAGUGUAUUGGUAAAUUCCCUGCCUUAGUAUGCUAUGGAGAAAAGACAAUCUGGAUGGAUAAUUAUUCACAAUGAAUUUGAUCCUUAUCUGCAAGCUGACAAGGUAAGUCAUUCCACUUCAUUGAAACAAAUAGCUACCACGUGAUCUCUCCUACUGCUAAAGCCAAAGUACUUCUAUAGAAUCACUCUUCUGAACACCAUCACUAUACCUGCUAUUUGCACUCGUGUUGGUAAUAAUAAAUAGAAAUACUGCAGCUGCCCUUCAGCGGUGGCAUUUCCUAGUCUUUGUGUAGCUUCUGAAGUUCAUAUGUUGCUGUGGUGAAUGCUCUGAGGAAAGACUAACAAAAUAGAUUGUUCUUGUUCUGUUAGGUUGGUUGGUUUGGGAGUGGUUGUGUUGUUGCUGGUUUUUGUGGUUGCUUAGAAUGGACCUUUGAAUGGAAAUAAAAUAGGUUACAGAAUUGGGUUACCAGAUCAGCAGCUCAUGGCUUGCAUUAUGCAAAUAUGAGACUGAGAAAUUAUUCUGUAAUGAGAGCAUAAACUAUACAGAAUAUAGUGGAAUGCAUACAACAUAAGGAGACACUCUUCAGUUUCCAAGGGAUUGCAUUUUUUAACUGCUUACAGUGUUUCUUCACAUUUCAGCACUGAAGCAGUUUCAAUUGGCCAAGCGUUUGUUUCCUUCUGCCUCAUACAAAGCACCCAGCAAUACUCUGAGACAAAAGCUGUACUUGUCAGGUGAAGGACAGAAAAUGUAAACUGCUGAGUAACAGAGGCUAGAAGCUCUGUUAGGGCCUAAGCUCAAAAAGUGAAAGAUUCAUCCUGCCAAAAGUAAGAUAGGUAUUUGAUGAGUUAAUGUCUAGUAAGAUUCAAGUUAGACUUCAGGUAGAGGUCUCUGGGAAGUGAAGAUGGAUAUAACAUCUCGGAGAGGUUGUGGAAUGCCAAUGUAUUAAUUAAAAUAAAAAUAAUUAUAAUAAUAAUAAAAUCACCCACAAAACAUAGUAAUACUUAAAGCUAAAAGUAAAAAUCAGGUAUAGAUUUAACUCUUUGUUGAGAGGCACCAGAAGAAUUCACAGCUCCUUCCAAUUCUGCUUUCUGAUUGAAAUCAAGAACUGAGGAUGCAUUUCUCUUAAUUAGAUGCAGCAUGCAGAUCUAAUUUGUCUAUUUGUCUGUUGUCUAUUGUCAGGUACUAAUUUGUCAUAUUACCUGAACUAUGCUCUGCAAAACUAUUUCUGUGGCCAACUCUUUUAUGGGUUAUUUCUAGAGUACUCACUUUUCUAAUAGGCAGUCAUUGAAUUUACCAGUGGGACCAGCCUCUCCCAAGACAUCCUCUAUAAUUUGUUCCUUAACUACUGAUUUCUACCAAAGACUUCUGUUAUUUGACAUGGACAUUUUUAUCAGUCUAUAAAUGAAUUACAGUAUUCAUCCAAUCAUAAAAUGACAUUAUGAAAGCAGCUUUUUUGCUGAUGUGGUGACUAUAGAGUUGCUUGACAUUAUUCUGGUAACAAAAUUUGACUGGAUAUACGUUUUGACAUCUAGGAAACGAGGACACUGAUGGAAACCGAUGGACCUUAUGUCAAAAGAAAAACAAGAAACCCACAAAACAAAAAACAGCAAUAACAACAACAAAAUCCCCCACAACUGGCUGCAGGAUGACAGCCAGCAAACUAAUAGGUGAAUUCUAAAGAACUCCAUUCCCAAGGGGCAAAGUCAAUAAAGAAAGGACUGGAAAAAAAUAGAGAGGGAAAAGUGAAGACAAGCCAAUGCUUAUAUUUCUUGUAAAAUUAACAAAGAAAUAACAAUGGGAAUUUUAGAACUGAAAAGACAAAGGCUGAUGAACAGUUAGUUUUAUCUAGGAUAGCUGACAUUCAAUAUUCAUGUUUCUAUUUGUACUAUACCCUUCAAAUAUAACUGUGCUCAUAAAGCUGAGUGUCUCAUUAUUAAGUCCUUUGUUCAUGCUUUUAGUCUUUUUCUUAAAUUUUGACAUAAACAUGUUCCAGAAUAGUGUGAACAAAAUGCCAUCCCCCGGAGGACUAGCAUUUGUAGACAGGUUGUGCUGUGGACAUUUCAUUUCAGAAGCCAAGACCUUUUCUUACUCUCCUCAAGAACCUUUGUAAACACUUCUGCUUUCACAUUUAUAAAAUGUAUUUAUACAUAAUCUCCCAGAUCUCUGAGACAAAAAACAUGUUUUGGGAAUCAAUUAUGUACACAUUUUCACAUAUUUUUUUUCCAUUUUGAACUGAGCAUUUCUGCGUAUCGUAGAUUGGUCGUUUUUCUCCGUCAUUGAGUGAUAAUAUGUCAUAGGUAAAGGAUUUUUGACAGUGUUUAAAGCAGAACUGUGAUAAAUAAUGCAGCGCCAAGACUUCAGUAUUAGCACAGUCAACAAACUCCUCAAAGUAAAUGAUAACAUUUACAUAUUUUACCACCUGCUGACACCAUGUUUCCAUUUGUACUGACUCCAGUAGCAGACUAUUUCUAAAGCCAUAGAAAGACUUGGUAAUUCUGCUGUUUUGAGCAGCCUGUGAAGUUCUUGAGCAGCAGAUUUUGGAAGCUAAAAGACUGGCAUGGCUAGUACAUUCUUAGUAUUCUUUUGUAUCCUGUAGUCAACUACUGUUGACCACUGUUGGAUGUAAAACACAUAUUGGGAAGUUACACCUUUGGCCUUCUCCAGAAUGGCCAUCUUACUGCUCUGUACUGGGGAGAAAAAAAACAAAAACAACAACAAAAAACCCACUACCAAGGAACUUACUUACAAACAAAACCCAGACAACACUCACACAAAUUAAUAAAUAAAGAGAAAUAGAGAAAUGAUCUUGUUAGCAAGAAAAGAUUCUGAAAGCAAAAUAAUGAAAAAUAGAAAGCAAAAGAAAAAUAGAAGUUUCUGUCAAAGUGACUUGGCUACAUUUUCCUUAGUUUUUGGCUAGAACAUCUCCAUUGAUAGAGUUGCUAAGUGCAUUCUAUUUACAAAUAUAAACACUUGAUUUUGAUCAGCAAAAAUGCAUCAGCACACUUGAACAGUGUCAAUGAUGACAUAAUUACACUCACAAUUUCCUCUCUGUAAUGAUUUUUAAAUGUCAGCAGUCAUUUUUUGUCUAAUCGUAGCUUGCAUGUCAGCGCUUUCUCUUAAAACAGCAUGUUUCUCUCUGCUGGAAUUUCACACCUCUCCACUUCACCAGUGAAGAUAAUGAAUAUGAUAUAGAACUUCAGGAUAUUUUCACUUCUGUGCUGUGCUGUUUUACUAUUUAACAUCAAGCAGGCAGAAUGAAGGUGUUUUUUCUUUUUUUUUCUUUUUCAAGUGCAGAGUUUAAUCAUCUAAGCUGUAAAUAAGUAUUUGAUUUUAAUGAACAAAUCAAGUAUUCAUUUCUUUUGCCUCCCUGCUGUUGCUGUGCUAAUAACCUGUUUAUAAGCGUGGACGUGUGAUAAAAAUAUUCUCACUCAUCUCUGUUGCAUACUUACCUACUAGAGGAGAAGGCUUAUCCUGCAACGCCAGACAGCUUCCUGCUCAGUUCAGUGUUUAACAAACUGUGAAAGCAGGUGACCCUUUCUCUGCAAAGACACCCUGCUUAACAAUGUCACUGCUACUGUCUCAUGCUAUGGCCUAGAAAGUGACUUAUGAAAUGCAAUUUUGCAUGGUGCCAGGCCUCAAGAUACCACAGCAUAACAAAUAGGUGCAUCUGGAGUUCAUCUCAGUGCCCUCUUCCUCUUUUCAUAGAUCACAUGUCAUCAAAUCUAUGGAAGUGUAUCACUUGUGCAGUGAACUGGAAGCUCUGCAUUGAGGUUAGCAGCAAACAUUUUCCACUCAUCUGAACAUACACUGGAAUUGGAAAUGGGGGCCAAAGAGGCCUCCUUCAGUCCCAUUUGCUCACAACUCAUUCAUGUCUCUGAUGAUGCUUAACUCUAGAGUUUUGGAGAUAAAGCUUAUAUUUAGUGGCCCAUAUGUUAUCAAAAUAAGUAAAAAGCCAUAAGGAACACAUACUGAGAAAACAAGUCAUGAAAUCAUUUUGAGGUAUCUGAUAAAAAAAAAAGAGUACUGUUGAGUGCUUCUGAUCAAACUCAUGCAUUGACCCCAUUUAUAUGUUUUAAUGGGUCUCUAAAAGAUGAAUAUAUAAAUAAUGUGUAGUUGGUGUGUGUGUGUAAUGUGCUUUUCUGUCUAAGGCCCAUGAUAACUUUAAUUAUUUUGAUAAUGUCUCAGUAACAUUAGCACCACAGUUGUAUACAUACAACUGUAUACAUACACAUGUACACACUGUGUACAUGCCUAUAGGCACAUGGUGAUCAUGUGUAUGUUCACACAAAUGAAUGUUGUUGACCUACUUCUCUAACUCUUUGUUAUUUAUGCCAUGUUUUGUAUUUUACACUUUCAUUUUUUUCCCUUUUUGAUUAAAUUGGCACCUCAGAAAUUUUCUGGAGCAGCUGGAAAGGACAAGAAUUUUUUUAACAGGCAUACCGUACCUGCCUAUGUGAGAUGUGUCCAUGAGUAGAGACUACUUGAAAGUAGGUGCUUCUAGGUCACCCCGCUUGGGCUGUCCCCAAGGACAAUUUCAUUAAGGUAGCAAAGCAAACUAAAGAAACUAGCAACCAAGCAGUCAAGAGGCAAAGAAACCAAAUUCUUUGAGCACUUACUUCCAGGGAGAAUAUUAGUCCUGAAGAUAUGAUGCGAGGUAUGCAGUGCGUGACACUAACUUGUUUGUAUCUACCUUUGUGACAACAGGAAUGAGUCAAGAACUAGCAACACUGAAAGGAAACAAACUGUAAGAGAUGGACCUAGAAAACGAGAUACUCAUCUAGAACGUUUUCUCUGCCCUUCCCCUUCCCGUUUUUCGUACUGGAGAGGCAAGGAGGAGAAAGUUUAUCUAAUUUAAAUUAUGUGCAGUAUGCUCAAAGAGAAGUUGACUAUACUGAAACUUUACCACAACACUUCUGGUCCUUACAAGAAAGCUCCACUUCUAUGACAACAACAA